rnacentral:tRNA from 1 species
GCCUGGUUGGCUCAGUCGGAAGAGUGUGUGACUCUUAAUAUCAAGGUUGUGAGUUCAAAUCCCACACUGGGUG